CACGUAGGGGGCAAGCGUUGUCCGGAUUUAUUGGGCGUAAAGAGCUCGUAGGUGGUUCGGUAAGUCGGGUGUUAAACCCCCAGGCUCAACCUGGGGACGCCACUCGAUACUGCUGUGACUAGAGUCCGGUAGGGGAGCGUGGAAUUCCUGGUGUAGCGGUGAAAUGCGCAGAUAUCAGGAGGAACACCGGUGGCGAAGGCGGGACUCUGGGCCGAUACUGACGCUGAGGAGCGAAAGCGUGGGGAGCAAACAGG
rnacentral:rRNA from 1 species